UCAGCAGCCGCGGUAAUUCCAGCUCUGUAAGCGUAUACCCAAGUUGUUGCAGUUAAAACGCUCGUAGUCGGAUGUUGGCGAGCGAGAUGGGGCGUCUUCGCGGACGGACCUGUUUCGGUUGCCUUUGUGGAGGGGGGCGCUGUUCUGCUUAAAUGCGGGCCAGUUGCCGCUGCCACCGUUUACUGUGAAAAAAUUAGAGUGUUCAAAGCGGGCGUUUGCCAUGAAUACCUUAGCAUGGAAUAAUAGAAUAGGACCUGUUUUGUCCUGUUUCUGUUGGUUUGUGAGGACCGGGUAAUGAUUAAGAGGGACGGUUGGGGGCAUUUGUAUUCCGGCGUCAGAGGUGAAAUUCUUAGAUCGUCGGAAGACAAACGGCUGCGAAAGCGUCUGCCAAGGACGUUUUCAUUGAUCAAGAACGAAAGUAAGGGGAUCGAAGACGAUCAGAUACCGUCGUAGUCUUUACUAUAAACUAUGAGGACUGGGGAUCGGGCGGGAAUCAGAAUUGGCUCGCCCGGCACCCUUCGGGAAACCAAAGUGUUUGCUUUCUGGGGGGAGUAUGGUCGCAAGGCUGAAACUUAAAGGAAUUGACGGAAGGGCAUCACCGGGUGUGGAGCCUGCGGCUUAAUUUGACU
rnacentral:rRNA from 1 species